rnacentral:lncRNA from 1 species
UCUAGGCGCACAUACGCAAACAUAGGAACAAUGGCGGAGGCUAACUCGCGCGAGCUCGCGCUUUACAGCGCCAAGAUUGCUGAGCAGUCUGAGCGUUACCAGGACAUGGUUGAGGAGAUGAAGAAGGUUGCUGUGCUGGCUAAUGAGCAGGAGCUGUCGGUGGAGGAGCGCAACCUGCUCUCGGUCUCCUACAAGAACCUUGUGGGCUCCCGCCGCGCUAGCUGGCGCAUUCUGCAGAGCAUUGAGCAGUCGGAGCAAGCUAAGGGCAACGAGAAGCGCGUGGGCAUGAUCAAGAGGUACCGCGCGGUGGUGGAGGGCGAGCUCGACAAAAUCUGCCAUGAGAUCCUGGACCUGCUCGACAAGUACCUGGUGCCCAGCGCCUCUACCACCGAGGCCGCUGUCUUCUACCUGAAGAUGAAGGCCGAUUACCACCGCUACCUGUCUGAGUACAAGACGGACGAGGCCAAAGCGGCGGCCGCGGAGUUGACGCUGGCCGCCUACAAGGUCGCCCAGGAGAAGGCCGACGAGCUGCCCACGACCAACCCCAUCAGGUACACAAGGUUUGGGGCCGGAGCGCGCGCCUGGAGCGGCAUGCAUGCAAGUUUCUGACCUUGUUUCGGUGCCGAAUGUCGCGAAUGCAGGCUGGGUCUGGCGCUCAACUUCUCGGUCUUCUACUACGAGGUGAUGAACCAGCCCGCGCUGGCCUGCUCGCUGGCGAAGAAGGCCUUCGAUGAGGCUAUCUCUGACCUGGACUCGCUCGGCGAGGAUUCCUAC